AUUGAACGCUGGCGGCAUGCCUUACACAUGCAAGUCGAACGGCAGCGCGGGGGCAACCCUGGCGGCGAGUGGCGAACGGGUGAGUAAUAUAUCGGAACGUACCCAAGAGUGGGGGAUAACGUAGCGAAAGUUACGCUAAUACCGCAUACGAUCUAAGGAUGAAAGUGGGGGACCGCAAGGCCUCACGCUCCUGGAGCGGCCGAUAUCUGAUUAGCUAGUUGGUGGGGUAAAGCCUACCAAGGCAUCGAUCAGUAGCUGGCCUGAGAGGACGACCAGCCACACUGGGACUGAGACACGGCCCAGACUCCUACGGGAGGCAGCAGUGGGGAAUUUUGGACAAUGGGGGGCAACCCUGAUCCAGCAAUGCCGCGUGAGUGAAGAAGGCCU
rnacentral:rRNA from 1 species